ACUGCCUCUUCCACACUUCAUUGCCUAGACUCUGUGUCUAUCAUGGUUCUGGCAGGCGUAAGUUUGUUUUCCUCUUUCUCUGUCUGUCAUCUUUGAGAUGGAAUAGUGGGCUGGCUCUGCAGGCAGGCUUUCCAGUUUUUCAGUGCUGGCCAUUGCUCCUCUAUUUCACCAACUCACACCGAGCUGUCAGCAACAGGUUCUCUGAGCAGAAACGUUAGCAAACUUAAAAUGUCUCCUGAAAACGGCAGCUCUCCGUGGAUACUAAAACUUUGAGAGCGUGGGUGGGAAACCGUCCAGAAGUGGUGGCUCAUCAUUUGCGACCUCUCGAAAACUCAGAAGUUGAUGUUUUUGAACCGUAGCGGUGAGUGAGAGGAAGGACGCUAGCAUCAACUAGCUAGCCGGUCGUCACGGCAACGCUACAAGAGCGUCUCUCAGCAUGGGCCCGAAAAAAGUUCUGUCAGCUGAGGAAGGUGACGAUAUUAAGAAGUCGCUGGAGUUUAUGACAGAGGAGAUUUCUACUGUCAAACUGCAGCAGAAAGCCAUCCUGGACCUGGUCGAGGAAGUUAAGGCUCUCCGCAUCCAGAACGCCGAGAAGGAUCGGCGGCUGGCGUACCUGGAGAACAGAGUGGCGGAUUUGGAGUAGUACACCCGGAUGAACGAUGUUAUCAUCACGGGGCUUCGCAUCAAACCUCGGUCAUACGCCCGGGCGGUCGCCGCUGUCAAUGUAGGAGGGCCAGGAGAGGAAGAUGUCAACUCCACGGAGCAUCAAGUGGUCACCUUUCUACGGUCCAAAGGUGUGGAAGUGGAUUAUAACAACAUUGAGGCUUGCCACCCUCUACCCCGAAAAAAUGACAGUGACAAACCAGCCAUCAUUGUGAGAUUUGCAAACAGAAAACACAAAACAGCACUGUUAAAACAAGGAAAGAAACUGAAAGGAUCCGAUGUCUUCAUGAAUGAACAUCUGAUAAAAAGAAAUGCGGACAUUGCCAGGAAAGCACGUUACUUGAAGAAACAGGGAAAAAUUCAAAAUACAUGGACCACCAACUGCAAAGUAUUCGUUAAACUCAAUGGAACACCGGAACAAGCCAAAGUGUUGGUCAUCAGAAAUAUGGAGGAGCUGGACAAAUACUGAGGUUCAACUUACUCUGGAGAUGGCAGGGAAUUCCUCUUGAACAUCAUUGCCUUGUGGAGGGUUUAAGAAACAUUCCUGCAAACUCAGCUCACCUGCACUCUCAAGCCAGUCACCGCCUCCCAAGGGAAAGUUAUCCAUCAGUUUCUUAGCUGUCUUCUCAUUCACCACUGCUCAACUCUCUUGGGAUUCCUUUGUCCUGUCUGCUUCCCUCCCCACAGCCUGCUAAGGAAAGACAAACAAGCAGCCAAAGAAACCAAGUUUCCAAACUACUUCAGCCAGCUCUAACUUGUCUACUCCUCUUUGGCAGAAAUCCCCACAAAGCUUUAGUAGCAUAUCUGCACCAAUGCUGCACCACUUCCACUGGGCACACCUUGAUCUUCCAGCCUCUGUCCUCCACCUCAGCUGCCAAGUUUGCAUACCGCAGCUUCUUAUGCUCAAAUGCUUCCUCAGUUGCAUCCUUCCACGGUACCAUCAGCUCAAACAACCAGAUGUCUGAACUAUAAAGCUGGAUUUAACCUUAUCCAGGUUUGUGGGUGGUUGGAGCCAGUCACAGCUGUCAUAGAGCGAAAGACAGGGCACAGCUUGAAUUCUCUAAGUGGGCAUCCCCUUUCAUUUAAAUCAUCCCAGCCAGCCAGCCUUCCAUCUCUUAUCUGGGUCCAGGACAUUGGGACAGCAGUCUAAGCAGAUGUGCAUGUCUUUAUCCUGUUUCCUUCUCUCACCC